CGAAAGCAGACACAUAUGCUAUCUCAAAAUAAUGACUUAGUAUCACGAAAUAAUGACUUAGUAUCUCAAAAAUAAUGACAAUGUUUUAAAAUAAUGAAUUAGUAUCUCAAAAUAAUGACUACAAUCUCAAAUAAAUUUAUUACUCAAAGUAAAGAGAUAGCAGUAUUAAUAAUAACAAAAAUAUGCUGUAUUUGUUUUAUUAUUAUUUUAGGUGGUGGAAAUAGGCUGACAUAGUUUAGUAUUAAUAUACAGAAAGUUUUAAAAUAAUUAAAAAAAACACUGAAUUUAAGGUGUGUAAAAACCUUCUUUCUCAGAGCUCUGGAAUUUUCCGUUUGAGAGCUACAGUUAGAACAAAUCUAAAGAAGCUCAAACGGAAGGGAAAACAGCAUUUUAGCAUUUUUUAAACAGUGAAUAAUGUUAGUUAGGUUAGCUGGUGUAUCUGAAACCUGUAGCUAGUUAUAGUUAAGCUGCUGAUUCAUCCAUUUCACUGUGAAAAGCAAAAUGAGGGUGGAACAGCUUCCAGCUCCCAGUAACAACCUCACACCCACCAUCCAGAGAAACCCAGGAACAGCUCUCUUAUCAGGAGCUAUGAAUGGCAGCAUAAAUCCAGCAGCAGCAGCGAAGGAACCAAAAAAUGAUGAGCUUCCUGUUAAGAAGGCAUUUACGGCCGAAACACCCAAACUCCCAACCACUGCUCCUAUUAAAAAGAAGACUCUACAGCCAAACUGUAGAGAGACUCAACCGAGACCAAGCAGCCUCCCCUCUGCAGGAAGAGACACUCAGAAGAAGAUGACAAAAGCGAAAUGGCUGUGGAAAUUUUCUCGGUGGAGGCGUCUCCACAGAAGUCUGUGGGACCCCCAAAGUCUUAGGCCCCCAAAACUAACACCCGAUGCUACUACAGUACAGUCCAGACAGCGUGAGAAAGCAGAUGCCAGCGCCAAUAAGAAUUCAUUAGCUCGAUCAAUCAGAUCCAUGCAGCUGUUAACUUCCACCUCAGAGUCUUCCCCCUCUCCUCCUUCCUCUAAAGGCAAAAGGUGUAAAGCCGUCCAUGUGUACCGAACCCGCCGUUACCGGAACCAGUUACUGUGGUACCGGAUCCUGCAGCAUGAGAAGAGGCUCAGAGCUCAGAGAUUAGCCCAGCAGAGCAUCAAGACUCCGUCUUCUGCAGAUUCCUCAGUGAGAAAAGGCACCUCAGAAUACCUGGAUAAACCAGGUUUGAAAUAUCAGCGAGAGGAAAGAAAGAGAAGCCUGCCAUCAGCCCGCAGCUUUCUGGUCAGAAAGAUGUCAAGAAGGACCAAACGCAAGCUGUGGCGUCGCCAGCUGGACAGCAGCAGCUCUGAUUCUCCUGUUUCAGGGAGCAGUGCCAGUGCCACCCCUGUAUGUGCCCGCUGUAUGUCCUCCAGAGGUCUUGGCACUAGGAGCUGCCCAACUUUAACUUCAGACUCUUUCACCUCCCUGAAGGACACUCCCUCAACCAACAUGAAAUCAGCUCUGGCAAGUCCAGGUCAACGAUGUGCCGAUAAAAAACGAGUUACGUUCUCAGAUUUUCAAGAGGGACCAUUAUUUUCUCACAUGCAGAAGACCACGAAAUCUCCAAGACCUCUGAAAGAGGUCAAGUUCAAAGAUUCACCAUCUGCAAUUCAAAUCUCUGAGACACCUAGCAGAUCAAAAUCUGCUGUACAGAAGAUGAGACUGCCAAGCACUCCACACGUCUGUAAGAAGAGAUCAAAAUCUUCAACAAGACGCUCUGCUACGCCCAAGCACAAAGUUCAGGCUAAAUCCAUAUGCUCUAUUGACCUUUCAUUGAAGGGGAACUCGCAGUCAGACACGUCCAAAUCACCCUCAAAAGUAUCAAGCUCUCAAUGCUUAGCUUCCCAGAUGAAUCACUCACAGAAGUUCAUCCUCCAAGUAACCCCGAGCCCUAAAGACCCUCAUCAGAGGAAAAAGAAGAAGAAACAUGGCCAAAACAAGCCAACUUCAAAUACCCCUGCAGAGACAACAGCGAGAAUGCAGGCUCAUCCACAAGCCCAGUUUAAGACUCCAUCACCAAGAACAUCAAACAUCCAACCAGAGUACCCCCUUCCUUCCAAAGCAGCAUCGUCCAGCACUUUCAAACGCCCAAUAUCUGCAAGACAGGGAAAUUUAAAGAUUGGGCAUAAUUGCACCCGCAGUACGCAGACGCCGUUCAGAAGGCCAGACACGCCGAGACCUAAAAGCUGCCCCGAAUUUCUGAAAUGGAAGAAGGUUCUUGAGCUCAGAGACAAAAUGACAAGACCUACUUCCAGGAGCCUGUGCAGCUUCCAAGGACACUCGUCAGAAGAAUACGCAGAUAUGCUUCCCUCACCCAGACAGAUGUUCUCAGACAGUUCAUCACUGUCCAUCCAGUUCACACAGAAGCAUGGUCACUCCAGCAGGCCUGCUCUCGACCGUGAGAAUUCUUCUCAACGUCUGGAACAAAGUCAUCAUGGUAAAGCUGCUGUACUGAAUAAGAGGAUGGAGAGCCAGCAUCUCAGCACAUCGUCUCCAUCCAUAACCCUGCAAAUCGCCCAAGAGCAGCGUUCCGGUUCCUCCAGCCCAGAGCUCAGCCAGGCCAUACUCAGUGCCGUGAGACUUUUUUUGAGUAAGCAGCCAGCGGAGGCGGAGUCUACCUCCUUUAACAGCCCGUGCCAUCCGAGUCCUAGCCCUGACACUUCAGCCUCUGGCGGGGAUGCCAGGCAGCGGCCUGUCAGCCAGAGGACAAGUCUUUCAGGAUGCCAGUAUUUUGCUGUUUCUAUCAAACCUCUGGAGCUUUCUCCUCCUUUACCGUUCCUCAGCCAGGACACGUGCCGUCCUGUUGAGCAUAGAGGACCCUUCUGGCUGGUGCAGGAAGGGGGAGAUAACCAUACCCAGUCAUCACCUGAACAAACCCUGACCGAGCGAGAGAUCAAUGGACAAGCUGCAGAACCAGAUGCAAAAAUGGCAGAUAAGAUUAAAUCUGCAUCAAAAAGUAAACGCCAUACUAUAUAGUAACAAAAUCCAGGGAUCUGUGUGUAAAUAGUUCAUACCUAGGUAUUUUGGGAAGCCUCUUUGUUGUAUUUACCAUAAAUGAACAUAGGAUGGCAGCGUUGUGUAACACUGUUGAGCAUCCCUGCUCUGUUCUUUGUCUGGGGAUGUGCCAAAAAAGGAAGAUGUUGAAGAUAAAAAAUCAAAUAAAUCAUAUUUACAAUUUUUUUUUCUGAAAUUU
rnacentral:lncRNA from 1 species